GCUGGUCAUGGUGGUGCGUGCCUGUAGUUCUAGCUACUCAGGAGGCUGAGGUGGGAGGAUCGCUUGAGUCCAGGAGUUAUGGGCUGUAGUGCGCUAUGCCGAUAGGCUGUCCGCACUAAGUUCGGCAUCAAUAUGGUGACCUCCCAGGAGCAGGGGACCACCAGGUUGCCUAAGGAGUGGUGAACCAGCCCAGGUUGGAAACGGAGCAGGUUAAAACUCCCAUGCUGAUCAGUAGUGGAAUCUCACCUGUGAAGAGCCACUGCACUCCAGCCUGGGCAACAUAGCGAGAUCCUGUCUCUU
ensembl:misc_RNA Metazoa_SRP Metazoan signal recognition particle RNA